ensembl:lncRNA
AACGUAAUUAAGCGUAUAUGAAAGGUUCUAAAAUUAUAUAUGCGGUUCAUUUGUCAUCAAAUACAUUUUCAGAAGUCAUUUGAUAUUUUAAUGAUUGAUGGUUGUGAUAUGGUUGCAGUGUUGUUUUUCUGCCUUUCACAAGGUUAAUAAUGUGUAGUGGUGACAUUUGGCUAAGCAGAUGAAUACAUUUACACACAGGUAAGUCUAGAGCAAUGUCAACGAAGUAGAAUCUUGAAUCUUCUCUAAAAGAGGAAAGUAAUAUCCAAAACCAACUACUCUAGGACAGUUAGUAGCUAUUCUCAUGUUAAAUUCUGUACUGAUUUUUUCUUUAGCAUUCUUCAAUUUGCCUUAAAUAUAUUUUUUUCUCCACAGUAUCUGAAUGCCUAUGGCUGAGGGAAUAAGACCAGCAGUGAUAAGAAUGAAAUAGCAAAGGCUCUGAAGCAGCAUGAAGCAGUGAACAGACCUCACUUUGGAAACCUUAUAACGAAGAAGCUUUCCAAUGCUGCUGUCAAAAUUGUCAUUCCCCACCAGAUGCCCUAACUUCCCACUGCUCCCCGCUGGUACUGCUGCCCCUGUUGUCUCUCCAUCCAAAGAGUUUCUGAACAAGAGACAAGCUUUUAUGGAGCCUGGCAAAGCUUCAGAAGGGAAAAGGAAAAAUCGAUACUGCUUCAAAGCAAAGUCUUUGCUUCAGUGAAUAUGACAUUUGCCCUUUCUUCACUAGGGGGAAAAACAACAAGGACACUUACACCGGCAAUGGAAAUAGAAUGAACAACAGAGAGACCUUCCAGGUUUGACAUGUAAAGGGAAAUAACUUUGUAGUUAUUGUCCCUACUUGGAGACAUCAAAAACAGGUGUAGAGUGUAAGGCGGUGCAGGCUGAGAACGAAGUGGAAAGUAACACAAAGUCAAAGAGAAGAGUUGAAGGAAUUUGGAACAAGGGAUAAUGGACUUGGCUGAAAAGAUGGAGAAUGAAAGACACUGCGCAAAGGUGAAGUCCAUUGUUGUACAAUCAAAUUAACUAUUAAAUGUCAGCUGCAAAGGUGAGCCAUAAUAUUAAAAGGACCUUCCAGUAAGUUUUACGCCAUUUUGACAGCUUUACAGCCACUGAAAAUGUCCAUAGAGCCUCACAGUUUGCUAAUGAAUGGCUUCUCCAUAAGAAUGGAACAGGUCAGAACUUUGAAAGAGAAGCUGGAAAUACCAAUUAAAGAAAUGGAUGCUUCUGCAAAAUCAAAACAACUUUGAAGAACACUCACUUAUAUUUUUGGAGGAUUCACAAAGAACUGAACUAAAUAUAAGCCUUAGAAGUCUGCUCCAAUUCUUUUCCAUAUCCAGGUUUUCAUUAAUUUCAUUCUAAAGCUGGUUAUAACCCCCUGAUUCCAUUCUAUUUUGAUGAUGCCACUACUGAGCUAGUUUCCCAAGUUGUGCUGUUUUGAUGUUUCUACUUUUGUCAUUCACCACGUGGAAUUUUAUGGACCUCUUUUCUUUUGGAAUAACACCCAUCAUUUAAAUGUUGUCACUGUUCAAAAAUACUUCUUUUCUUAUGCGAAGCUGUUCCUUCAGCUGCAGCUGCCACCAGUAGUGGUUAACUUGUGGCACCUAAAUUCCCUGCUGAGUGGGUCAGCUGCUGCUGUUGCAGUUAUGUGUCAGAGCAGGCUUCAUCCUUGGUGAAUCAAAUAGCAUGACUUCUGAGGAGCACGCUCGUAGUGCAGCAGGACAGUCAUGUACUCAUACUCUGACCCCUGUACUGCUGCUGGGUGAGAGUUCUGCAGCUACAAGAAUCAAUAAAAAUGUAUUGAUUUCUCUGCACUGUCAUAAAGCUUGUCUGCUCUCAUCUCCAGUUUGCAAGCAGAAAAAGAAGAGUGUAAAACUGCAAUUGUCUUAGGCUUUCUCUCACCUCCCCCGUUCCACGCUCAUCACUCCAGAGACCAAGAUCUGUUUCUGACAUGCUGCCCCAGCUGCUGUAUCAGCAUCCUACUCUUUUAACACUUUGUGUUGGAAAAAUAGCUGGUUUUGAACUAAGUAAGUGCAGGGGGAUUGCCUUAAAGACUAAGGUGAGUGACUUCUCUGGAGCUUAAUUUGUCCCACUACAUGCAGAAAAGGGUAGCCAAGGGCAAAUAAUGUGAUGAGGAGUUCAUUGUCUCUGUAGGUAUUGCAGUCUCACAUAAAGUUACUUUUCUAGGCCGUUUCAGAUCCCUUUGAAAGUGAUGUUUUCUAUUCUAGGAAGAAG